rnacentral:rRNA from 1 species
UUUGGUUAAGUUAGAAAGGGCGCACGGUGGAUGCCUUGACACUAGGAGUCGAUGAAGGACGGGACUAACGCCGAUAUGCUUCGGGGAGCUGUAAGUAAGCUUUGAUCCGAAGAUUUCCGAAUGGGGAAACCCACCAUACGUAAUGGUAUGGUAUCCUUAUCUGAAUACAUAGGGUAAGGAAGACAGACCCAGGGAACUGAAACAUCUAAGUACCUGGAGGAAGAGAAAGCAAAUGCGAUUUCCUGAGUAGCGGCGAGCGAAACGGAACAUAGCCCAAACCAAGAGGCUUGCCUCUUGGGGUUGUAGGACAUUCUAUACGGAGUUACAAAGGAACGAGGUAGACGAAGCGACCUGGAAAGGUCCGUCGUAGAGGGUAACAACCCCGUAGUCGAAACUUCGUUCUCUCUUGAAUGUAUCCUGAGUACGGCGGAACACGUGAAAUUCCGUCGGAAUCUGGGAGGACCAUCUCCCAAGGCUAAAUACUCCCUAGUGAUCGAUAGUGAACCAGUACCGUGAGGGAAAGGUGAAAAGCACCCCGGAAGGGGAGUGAAAGAGAUCCUGAAACCGUGUGCCUACAAAUAGUCAGAGCCCGUUAACGGGUGAUGGCGUGCCUUUUGUAGAAUGAACCGGCGAGUUACGAUCCCGUGCGAGGUUAAGCUGAAGAGGCGGAGCCGCAGCGAAAGCGAGUCUGAAUAGGGCGUUUAGUACGUGGUCGUAGACCCGAAACCAGGUGAUCUACCCAUGUCCAGGGUGAAGUUCAGGUAACACUGAAUGGAGGCCCGAACCCACGCACGUUGAAAAGUGCGGGGAUGAGGUGUGGGUAGCGGAGAAAUUCCAAUCGAACCUGGAGAUAGCUGGUUCUCCCCGAAAUAGCUUUAGGGCUAGCCUUAAGUGUAAGAGUCUUGGAGGUAGAGCACUGAUUGGACUAGGGGUCCUCAUCGGAUUACCGAAUUCAGUCAAACUCCGAAUGCCAAUGACUUAUCCUUAGGAGUCAGACUGCGAGUGAUAAGAUCCGUAGUCAAAAGGGAAACAGCCCAGACCGCCAGCUAAGGUCCCAAAGUGUGUAUUAAGUGGAAAAGGAUGUGGAGUUGCUUAGACAACUAGGAUGUUGGCUUAGAAGCAGCCACCAUUUAAAGAGUGCGUAAUAGCUCACUAGUCGAGUGACUCUGCGCCGAAAAUGUACCGGGGCUAAAUACACCACCGAAGCUGCGGAUUGAUACCAAUGGUAUCAGUGGUAGGGGAGCGUUCUAAGGACAGUGAAGUCAGACCGUAAGGACUGGUGGAGUGCUUAGAAGUGAGAAUGCCGGUAUGAGUAGCGAAAGACGGGUGAGAAUCCCGUCCACCGAAUGCCUAAGGUUUCCUGAGGAAGGCUCGUCCGCUCAGGGUUAGUCAGGACCUAAGCCGAGGCCGACAGGCGUAGGCGAUGGACAACAGGUUGAUAUUCCUGUACCACCUCUUUAUCGUUUGAGCAAUGGAGGGACGCAGAAGGAUAGAAGAAGCGUGCGAUUGGUUGUGCACGUCCAAGCAGUUAGGCUGAUAAGUAGGCAAAUCCGCUUAUCAUAAAGGCUGAGCUGUGAUGGGGAAGCUCCUUAUGGAGCGAAGUCUUUGAUUCCCCGCUGCCAAGAAAAGCUUCUAGCGAGAUAAAAGGUGCCUGUACCGCAAACCGACACAGGUAGGCGAGGAGAGAAUCCUAAGGUGUGCGAGAGAACUCUGGUUAAGGAACUCGGCAAAAUGACCCCGUAACUUCGGGAGAAGGGGUGCUUUCUUAACGGAAAGCCGCAGUGAAUAGGCCCAAGCGACUGUUUAGCAAAAACACAGCUCUCUGCGAAGCCGUAAGGCGAAGUAUAGGGGGUGACACCUGCCCGGUGCUGGAAGGUUAAGGAGAGGGGUUAGCGUAAGCGAAGCUCUGAACUGAAGCCCCAGUAAACGGCGGCCGUAACUAUAACGGUCCUAAGGUAGCGAAAUUCCUUGUCGGGUAAGUUCCGACCCGCACGAAAGGUGUAACGAUUUGGGCACUGUCUCAACCAGAGACUCGGUGAAAUUAUAGUACCUGUGAAGAUGCAGGUUACCCGCGACAGGACGGAAAGACCCCGUGGAGCUUUACUGUAGCCUGAUAUUGAAUUUUGGUACAGUUUGUACAGGAUAGGCGGGAGCCAUUGAAACCGGAGCGCUAGCUUCGGUGGAGGCGCUGGUGGGAUACCGCCCUGACUGUAUUGAAAUUCUAACCUACGGGUCUUAUCGACCCGGGAGACAGUGUCAGGUGGGCAGUUUGACUGGGGCGGUCGCCUCCUAAAGUGUAACGGAGGCGCCCAAAGGUUCCCUCAGAAUGGUUGGAAAUCAUUCGUAGAGUGCAAAGGCAUAAGGGAGCUUGACUGCGAGACCUACAAGUCGAGCAGGGACGAAAGUCGGGCUUAGUGAUCCGGUGGUUCCGCAUGGAAGGGCCAUCGCUCAACGGAUAAAAGCUACCCCGGGGAUAACAGGCUUAUCUCCCCCAAGAGUCCACAUCGACGGGGAGGUUUGGCACCUCGAUGUCGGCUCAUCGCAUCCUGGGGCUGUAGUCGGUCCCAAGGGUUGGGCUGUUCGCCCAUUAAAGCGGUACGCGAGCUGGGUUCAGAACGUCGUGAGACAGUUCGGUCCCUAUCCGUCGUGGGCGUAGGAAAUUUGAGAGGAGCUGUCCUUAGUACGAGAGGACCGGGAUGGACGCACCGCUGGUGUACCAGUUGUUCUGCCAAGGGCAUAGCUGGGUAGCUAUGUGCGGAAGGGAUAAGUGCUGAAAGCAUCUAAGCAUGAAGCCCCCCUCAAGAUGAGAUUUCCCAUAGCGUAAGCUAGUAAGAUCCCUGAAAGAUGAUCAGGUUGAUAGGUUCGAGGUGGAAGCAUGGUGACAUGUGGAGCUGACGAAUACUAAUAGAUCGAGGACUUAACCGUAUAA